UACGGGGGGGGGCAAGCGUUGUUCGGAAUUACUGGGCGUAAAGGGCGCGUAGGCGGCCAUCUAAGUCAGACGUGAAAUCCCUCGGCUCAACCGAGGAACUGCGUCUGAUACUGGAAGGCUUGAAUCCGGGAGAGGGAUGUGGAAUUCCAGGUGUAGCGGUGAAAUUCGUAGAUAUUGGGAAGAACACCAGUGGCGAAGGCGACUAUCUGGACCGACAUUGACGCUGAGGCGCGAAAGCGUGGGGAGCAAACAGG
rnacentral:rRNA from 1 species